rnacentral:rRNA from 1 species
CCUACGGGAGGCAGCAGUGAGGAAUAUUGGUCAAUGGGCGGAAGCCUGAACCAGCCAAGUAGCGUGCAGGAUGACGGCCCUACGGGUUGUAAACUGCUUUUAUACGGGAAUAACGCGCCUUACGUGUAGGGCUUUGCAUGUACCGUAUGAAUAAGGACUGGCUAAUUCCGUGCCAGCAGCCGCGGUAAUACGGAGGGUGCAAGCGUUACUCGGAAUCACUGGGCGUAAAGAGUGCGUAGGCGGGCUGUUAAGUCAGCGGUCAAAUGUCGGGGCUCAACCCCGGCCUGCCGUUGAAACUGGCGGCCUCGAGUGGGCGAGAAGUAUGCGGAAUGCGUGGUGUAGCGGUGAAAUGCAUAGAUAUCACGCAGAACUCCGAUUGCGAAGGCAGCAUACCGGCGCCCGACUGACGCUGAGGCACGAAAGCGUGGGUAUCGAACAGGAUUAGAUACCCGGGUAGUC